rnacentral:rRNA from 1 species
GACGAACGCUGGCGGCGUGCUUAACACAUGCAAGUCGAACGAAGUGGCGAACGGGAGCGUAACGCGUAAUCAACCUGCCCUUCAGGGGGGGACAACAGUAGGAAACGACUGCUAAUACCGCAUACUGAAGGAGGGGAGUGCGUCUGAUUAGCUAGUUGGGGGGGUAACGGCCCAGCAAGGCGAUGAUCAGUAGGCUGUCGUGGAGGAUGAACGGCCACAGUUGGACUGAGACCAGGCCCAGACUCCUACGGGAGGCAGCAGUGGGGAAUCUUUCGCAAUGGACGAAAGUCUGACGGAGCAACGCCGCGUGAGGGAUGACGGCCUUCGGGUUGUAAAGCUCUGUUAAUCGGGACGCGGUACCGGAAUAGAAAGCCACGGCUAACUACGUGCCAGCAGCCGCGGUAAUUC